CUAGUUACAAUCCAUACAAUAUAAUUAAACCAAUAUAAUUGCCUAUUCUCCAUUAUCAUCCUUCUCUUCUCUUCAUUUCCGACCACAAGUAUUAAACGCUUCACCGGUUAUUUCACCUCCGCUGCCACGAUCUUCUCCUUCAGUUCUUUGACCGUCGUAUCUUCAGUCACCUCCGUAUUCGACGAGAGUGUUGUCUCCAAGACCGCGGACAUAAGAGUAGAUUUUUAGAAAAUGUAGUUU
rnacentral:lncRNA from 1 species